rnacentral:tRNA from 1 species
GCGUAGCCAAGUGGCAAGGCAGGGGACUGCAAAUCCCUUAUUCGGCGGUUCGAAUCCGCCCGCCGCCUCCA